rnacentral:rRNA from 1 species
AUUGAACGCUGGCGGCAUGCCUUACACAUGCAAGUCGAACGGUAACAGGCCGCAAGGUGCUGACGAGUGGCGAACGGGUGAGUAACACAUCGGAACGUGCCUGAUAGUGGGGGAUAACUACUCGAAAGAGUAGCUAAUACCGCAUAAGAUCUCAGGAUGAAAGCAGGGGACCGCAAGGCCUUGCGCUAACAGAGCGGCCGAUGGCAGAUUAGGUAGUUGGUGGGAUAAAAGCUUACCAAGCCGACGAUCUGUAGCUGGUCUGAGAGGACGACCAGCCACACUGGGACUGAGACACGGCCCAGACUCCUACGGGAGGCAGCAGUGGGGAAUCUUGCGCAAUGGGCGAAAGCCUGACGCAGCGACGCCGCGUGGGUGAUGAAGGCCUCGGUUGUAAGCCUGUGGGGGAGACGGAAUAAGUACGUGGC